GUUCACCUGCCCGCGCACCACCGCCAAACCCUCGGCCCGCCGCGUCCUUCAGCCCCGCAGCGCUGAUCGGUUUCACAUCCGCUCGGGGUCCGGGCUCUCAGCAUUCUCCUACCUGCUGAUGACACCCGCCCAAGCUCCUCCAGGCUCCAGCCUUGAUGUUCGGCUCUCUCCAGCCACAGGCCCCUCAGACUCUGAGUGUCCAGAAGGGGCUCAGCAUCUCCUCCUUGUCCCCACAGCCGACUCUCCUGGAACGACCUCUGAAUCAGCACCUUGUCUCCAGCAGAAUUCCACAAACACACCUCGUCCACAUGGAAAAUACCCACUUGUUCUUUUUUAAAAAUAUAUACAUAUCCUAUACAAUCAAAGUGUAAUAUGCAAA